GUGGAACUUGGGAUUCGAACGGCAGGCGGGAAGUGCUCUAGCAGGGGAGUCUGACCUUGUGAGGGAAUACCUGUGUCCCCCCUUUUUUCCCCUUUUUACCCAAUAAAACCCUGCCUUACUCACCCUUUAAAUCAUCUGCGAGCCUGAAUUUUCAUGGCCGUGGGACGGACAAGAACUUUAUCUUCAGCUGAACUAAGAAAAAGUCCUGCAACAUUUUUGGCGCGCAAUGUGGGGGCACCAGAAGCGGGCACCGUUGAGCUGUUGCAACUGUUCUGCUGGAGCCUUAUGUAUGUGGUUGAAACCACCUGUACUACUGGAAUGAAAGCACCUUUACAGAAGAGGCAAUGCAAGUUGUAUUCAUCACAUGUGUAGAAUGAAUUAAGAUUUAUGCCAGUUGCAAAGAAGAAUAUUGGCUCACUAUUUUUCCUCUGGGCAUGUGGAAAUGUAAAUCAGUCCAUGUUACUCACCUCGGAGAAGCAGAAGUACGAUUUACUAUUGUUGCUUGCUUACUUACUCUUAUCAAUUUCUAUGAGAGAAAGAGACCUCAAGUAAACCUCCAGCAGCCAUCUGGACUUCCAUGAAAACAGAACAAUCAGUGAGAUGCAGAGCUUGGAGGAGACAGUUUCCAUAGACUGAAGCACGUGCUGAAGCAAAGUUCACACUUGCAGGAUUAGAAGAGGUUGACCGAAAGAAGGAAGGACAUGGACAGCUAUGUUGUUGUGGAGUCCUGUUUUAUAGUCAUAACCUUGAGUCAAGUGAGUUUGUCUGGACAGACAGAGCUUGUUGCCUUUACUUAUAGGGAAGGCACCGGACACAGACAGCCUCAAGGACAUUUGUUCUAGCCUUUCAGUAUCCUUUCUCUUAAUUAUCUCACCUCAUCCAUGAAGCUGGUAUGUACGAUUUUUCCUUUCUUUCUCAAUCCUUUAAAAAAUUAAAGCUCUAAAUCUCAUUUCCACUUAGAUUUUAAUGUUGCAUUGUAACUUAAGAUAAAACCUUGCUCUGAUGUUAAAAAUACUAAAGUAAGAAGCAAUAUGGCAUAGUGCUUAUGAGCAGGACUACAUAGUUCUUUCUGAAUACAAAUCUCAGAUAAAACACUAUCUCAGUGAUCAACCAGGUUAAGCAACCUUUUUAGUGCCUCAAUUAUUCCAUUUGUAAAAUUGUAAUAAUGAUAGUACUAACCUAUAAGAUUGUGGUGAGGAUUAAGUCAGAUAAUACAAAAGAAGCAUUUAGAGUAUUUCCUGGCAUUAUCUACCAUUUAUUGAAUUUUUAUGGUUAAGAAGAAUAAGGAAAAGCAGAAGAAAAGGAAAAGAGAAAAAAUACAUAAGAAGAAGGAAGAGUGGUAAGCUCUAGUAAAUUACAACAAACGGUAACGUAGAAAACAUUUGUUAGCCCUUAAUAUAGGCCAGGCACUGUGUUCAAUGCUUAAACCUCAUUACUGUUCUUUGAAGUGGAUAACAUUAUUCCUUCCAUUUUAAAGAAAGGAAUACUAAAGACAACUUUGUCAAUAUUAUUCAUGUAAUAAAUGACAGAAUUUGACCAAGACAAUAGAGAAUGAACUCUUAAUCACUAUAUUGUUUUAUUUUUUGAAAAUAGAUUUUAAGUUCUUAUUAAAUGUUAAUGACUCACAUCAAAAUAAAGCCAAUCAAAAUUGACAGCAAU
rnacentral:lncRNA from 1 species